rnacentral:rRNA from 1 species
GAUGAACGCUAGCUACAGGCUUAACACAUGCAAGUCGAGGGGUGACGAGCGGAAAGCUUGCUUUCCUUGUCGACGACCGGCGCACGGGUGAGUAACGCGUAUCCACCCUUCCCCCAACUCAGGAAUAACCUUGCGAAAGUAAGACUAAUACCUUAUAAUUUCCUCAGAUGUCAUCUGACGAGGAAUAAAGAUAUAUCGGCUGUGGAUGGGGCUGCGUCUGCUUAGCUUGUUGGCAGGGGAACGGCCCACUAAGGCAACGAUCAUAAGGGGUUGUGAUAGUAAGGUCCCCCACAUUGGAACUGAGACACAGUCCAAACUCCUACUGGAGACAGCAGUUGGGAAUAUUGGGCAAUGGGCGGAAGCCUGAACCAGCCAAGUAGCGUGCAGGAUGACGGCCCUAUUGGUUGUAAACUGCUUUUAUACAGGAAUAAAGUUAGCCACGUGUGGUUAUUUGUAGGUACUGUAUGAAUAAGGACCGGCUAAGUCCGUGCCAGCAGCCGCAGUAA